UUACGAUGGAGAGUUUGAUCCUGGCUCAGGAUGAACGCUAGCGGCAGGCCUAAUACAUGCAAGUCGAACGGUUCGCAAGAACAGUGGCAAACGGGUGCGUAACGCGUAAGCAACCUGCCUCAAACUGGGGGAUAGCCCGGCGAAAGCUGGGGUAAACCCGCACGGUUCCCAUUUAUCACCUGGUAGUUGGGGUAAACAUUUAUGGGUUUGAGAGGGGCUUGCGUCUGAUUAGUUAGUUGGCAGGGUAACGGCCUACCAAGACGAUGAUCAGUAGGGGUUCUGAGAGGAUUGGCCCCCACAUGGGUACUGAGAUACGGACC
rnacentral:rRNA from 1 species